rnacentral:lncRNA from 1 species
GCGGCCGCGCCCGCACCCGCACCGGCACCCACGCCCACGCCCGAGGAAGGGCCCGACGCGGGCUGGGGAGACCGCAUUCCCUUGGAAAUCCUGGUGCAGAUUUUCGGGUUGUUGGUGGCGGCGGACGGCCCCAUGCCCUUCCUGGGCAGGCUGCGCGCGUGUGCCGCCGCUGGCAGGAGGCCGCUUCCCAACCCGCGCUCUGGCACACCGUGACCCUGUCGUCCCCGCUGGUCGGCCGGCCUGCCAAGGGCGGGGUCAAGGCGGAGAAGAAGCUCCUUGCUUCCCUGGAGUGGCUUAUGCCCAAUCGUUUUCACAGCUCCAGAGGCUGACCCUCAUCCACUGGAAGUCUCAGGUACACCCCGUGUUGAACUGGUAGGUGAGUGCUGUCCUCGGCUCACUUUCCUCAAGCUCUCCGGCUGCCACGGUGUGACUGCUGACGCUCUGGUCAUGCUAGCCAAAGCCUGCUGCCAGCUCCAUAGCCUGGACCUACAGCACUCCAUGUGGAGUCCACAGCUGUGGUGAGCUUCUUGGAGGAGGCAGGGUCCCGAAUGCGCAAGUUGUGGCUGACCUACAGCUCCCAGACGACAGCCAUCCUGGGCGCACUGCUGGCAGCUGCUGCCCCCAGCUCCAGGUCCUGGAGGUGAGCACCGGCAUCAACCGUAAUAGCAUUCCCCUUCAGCUGCCUGUCGAGGCUCUGCAGAAAGGCUGCCCUCAGCUCCAGUGCUGCGGCUGUUGAACCUGAUGUGGCUGCCCAAGCCUCCGGGACGAGGGGUGGCUCCCGGACCAGGCUUCCCUAGCCUAGAGGAGCUCUGCCUGGCGAGCUCAACCUGCAACUUUGUGAG